rnacentral:rRNA from 1 species
GCUGGCGGCGUACUUAACACAUGCAAGUCGAACGCGAAAGUUUUCUUCGGAAAGCGAGUAGAGUGGCGCACGGGUGAGUAACGCGUAAAUAAUCUACCCUUAUAUUUGGGAUAACAUCGGGAAACUGGUGCUAAUACCGGAUACGCUCUGGGAUACGCGAGUAUCUUAGAGGAAGGGAGACCUCUCCUUGGAAGUUUCCGUAUAGGGAUGAGUUUGCGUACCAUUAGCUAGUAGGUGGGGUAAAGGCCUACCUAGGCGACGAUGGUUAGCGGGUCUGAGAGGAUGAUCCGCCACACUGGAACUGGAACACGGACCAGACUCCUACGGGAGGCAGCAGUGAGGAAUAUUGCGCAAUGGGGGAAACCCUGACGCAGUGACGCCGCGUGAGUGAAGAAGGUCUUCGGGUCGUAAAGCUCUGUCAGGUGGGAAGAAGUGCUAGUAGGUUAAUACCCUGGUAGUUUGACGGU